UCUCUUUCUUACUUCCAUCUCCAUCUCCAUCUCCAUCUCCAUCUUAUAUGCUUCUAUUCCCUUCACUUCCAUCAAUGAAAAAGGAAAAGGCACAACAAGCAUCGAUCUCGAUCACGUUUUGCUUCUCUCUCUCCGAAACUACCUUCGCCGAUCUGAAGAAGUGGCAGUGUGAUGAACCAAAGGUGUGGCGUAACGAAUCGGUGUCGUGAUGAACCGGUGGUGGUGGCAUGACGAUUCGGUUGCUCAUAUCGUCAUAGCUUUAUCUCGUAACUCUCUCAAGCUCUUCGUCUGAGUCAAGCUCGUCACCCAAGGUUGUUGUUGGUCUCCUCGUUGCCGGAAUCAAGCCUGGCACCGGACUCAAGCUCGUCACCGACUCAAGCUCACAGCCGAUUUCGCCACCGGAUUCAAGCUCACCGCAGAUCUCGGGCUCGAAGUUGUGAUUAUUUUUAUUAUAUUGAAAUUAAUUGUAUUAUAUUUUGUGAUUAAUCAGAUUUUGAAUAACAAAAUAGUUAUUUUUA